rnacentral:rRNA from 1 species
UACGUAGGGGGCAAGCGUUGUCCGGAAUCAUUGGGCGUAAAGCGCGUGUAGGCGGCUCUAUUAGUCCGCUCUGAAAGCCCGGGGCUCAACCCCGGGAGGCGGGCGGAUACUGUCGGGCUAGAGUCCGGAAGGGGCGAGUGGAAUUCCUGGUGUAGCGGUGAAAUGCGCAGAUAUCAGGAGGAACACCGAUGGCGAAGGCAGCUCGCUGGGACGGUACUGACGCUGAGACGCGAAAGCGUGGGGAGCAAACAGG